rnacentral:lncRNA from 1 species
GAAGCGCGGCCCUGGCCAUGCUCUGUGAGGUCCUGGCCACUCUGACCUCACAAUGUCCUGCGUCUAUAAGAGGCCCAGGGCUCGGCCCUGCCUCACAGCCCACGAAGUUCCACCUCCUCACAGGUUGGCUGGCUCAGCUGAGGCUACCGUAGACGCAGCCACAGACCAAGGAGGCAAUGCCAUCCCAGACGGAGACAAAGGUGCAGCCGCCGUGGGUACACCCGGAGGGCCAGAAGACGCUAACUGCAGAAGAGCGAGGCCUCCGAACUCCUGCUGAAGACUUUGCCAGACCUCAAGACCGUCUUGCCACCUCUGACAAUGCCACCCUGCACUGAUACAGGAGCCUGCUAAGGAACAAUGCCGCCUGUCAAUAAAUGUCAAACUCAUCCCACUCAUGCCUUUGUCCUUGAUGGUUCGGUAGAGGGCUGGCCUGGAGGCGGAAGGGCUUGGCAAUGUGGCACAGUGGCACAGAAAGGAUGCUGGGAAGGGGGCCAUGAGAGUGACAGCUGUCACCGGGAUCCUGUCCAAAACUCAGUGACACGACAUGAGGAACAUCUGCUCCCAAACUGCCUACCUGUCUGACCCCU